rnacentral:rRNA from 1 species
UACAGAGGGUGCAAGCGUUAAUCGGAGUUACUGGGCGUAAAGGGCGCGUAGGCGGUCUUAUAAGUCUCGUGUGAAAUCCCUCGGCUUAACUGAGGAACUGCACGGGAUACUGCAAGACUUGAGAUCGGGAGAGGGAAGCGGAAUUCCGGGUGUAGCGGUGAAAUGCGUAGAUAUCCGGAGGAACACCGGUGGCGAAGGCGGCUUCCUGGACCGACACUGACGCUGAGGCGCGAAAGCUAGGGGAGCAAACGGG